CCAUUGUGAGGCACAGAGGAAAUAAAUACACAGAAACUAGAAGGUUCUUGGGAAAAACGCCAGAGGGGAACUGUUUUUAGCUCUUGUACUUAACCAUAUGUGUUCCUGGUGGAUCCCCUGGAGCGUUAAUGGAAGUUACUGGUGACUGCAAGCCAACAUGAAGCUGCUGCAAAUUCUACCUGGAUCCUCUGCAAGAGUACCAACUAUUCUUAACCACUGAGACAUCUCUCCAGCCCCAAGAAUAAUUUUAAGUAAUUUUUCCCUAAACAUCAUUUUUAAAGUGCUUCUGUUGAGCAUUAUUUUCUUUCAGUGUGAUAAGCCAGUUUCUACCCUGACUUCCUUUGGAGAUUUUUAGUUUGGAAGCUGAUUGUGCAAAAAUGCACAUGUUUCCUUUUAUCAGUAACCACUCUGUGGUUUCCUCUUUUGAAUUUCCUUCACUUCUGACUAAGCACUGUAUCAAUUUCUUCCUCUUCCAACAAGGCCAUUUCCCCUC